rnacentral:rRNA from 1 species
AUUGAACGCUGGCGGCAGGCCUAACACAUGCAAGUCGAGCGGCAGCGGGACCUUCGGGUUGCCGGCGAGCGGCGGACGGGUGAGUAAUGCCUAGGAAUCUGCCUGUUAGUGGGGGAUAACGCGGGGAAACUCGCGCUAAUACCGCAUACGUCCUACGGGAGAAAGCGGGGGCUCUUCGGACCUCGCACUAACAGAUGAGCCUAGGUCGGAUUAGCUAGUUGGUGGGGUAAUGGCCCACCAAGGCGACGAUCCGUAACUGGUCUGAGAGGAUGAUCAGUCACACUGGAACUGAGACACGGUCCAGACUCCUACGGGAGGCAGCAGUGGGGAAUAUUGGACAAUGGGCGAAAGCCUGAUCCAGCCAUGCCGCGUGUGUGAAGAAGGUCUUCGGAUUGUAAAGCACUUUAAGUCGGGAGGAAGGGUUGUAGGUUAAUACCUUGCAGCCUUGACGUUACCGACAGAAUAAGCACCGGCUAACUUCGUGCCAGCCGCCGCGGUAA